UUUUUAGUGUAAGUAUGUCCCAUGUAAUAUCUGGGAUAUAUUUUUGCUAGAA
rnacentral:pre_miRNA from 1 species